UUAAUUAUUUGCUUGUUACUUCAGGCUGCAAUGUUGCUCAGGGUUUGGUCUUCGGCCGGAGAGCCCCCGAACGGGGACCCGCCUCGCGCCGAAAUGGGGCGGUAAGCAGGGGGUGGGGGUGAGCGCCGGGGCGCUCGGUGACCCAGUAAUGAUCCUUCCGCAGGUUCACCUACGGAAA
rnacentral:misc_RNA from 1 species